UAGGGAAUUUUGCGCAAUGGGCGAAAGCCUGACGCAGCGACGCCGCGUGGGUGAUGAAGGCCUUCGGGUUGUAAAGCCCUGUGGGGAGGGACGAAUAAGCGUCAGCUAAUACCUGGCGUGAUGACGGUACCUCCUUAGCAAGCACCGGCUAACUCUGUGCCAGCAGCCGCGGUAAGACAGAGGGUGCAAACGUUGUUCGGAAUUACUGGGCGUAAAGCGCGUGUAGGCGGUCGCAUAAGUCGGAUGUGAAAGCCCUCGGCUCAACCGGGGAAGUGCACUCGAAACUGUGUGACUGGAGUCCCGGAGAGGAUAGUGGAAUUCUCGGUGUAGAGGUGAAAUUCGUAGAUAUCGAGAGGAACACCGGUGGCGAAGGCGGCUAUCUGGACGGUGACUGACGCUGAGACGCGAAAGCGUGGGGAGCAAACAGG
rnacentral:rRNA from 1 species